rnacentral:misc_RNA from 1 species
UGGCGGUGUGGCUUACUUUGG